CUUAUUUCAACAUUUUCAGAUGCCAUUCUCAAACACUGUCACAAAACAAGGGUUAAUUGACAUACCAUAUAUUAUCCCUAUACUCUAACCGACUAAUUAAAUAACAAAUAACUUAGGUAGGUCAUAUUAGCGAAGGAUUACCCGUCUCUCCCCUCCUAGUUCUAGUCUUACAUCUCAGCUAGGGAUCAUAUCCCUAAGAUUUGAUACCAACUGUAACGCCCCCAAAACAGGUAUACAUCACCCAUCUUGGGUCGCCAAAUACAUGGUACAUAAUACAACUACAAACUUCUUUUAUACAAUUGUCGUGUAAAAUACGACACAAUAUAGUUGAGAGUUUUAACACGAAUAUUGUCUUCUAGACAAUAUCCACACUCAAUGGAGUCCUCAUUACAAUUAUUAUCAUAAUAUUUCAUACUCCAUUCCCUGACUCGUCCCAGCUAUAUUCUCAUUUCCUGAAUAGAACAAUGAAAGAAAUGGGUGAGCUCAACUAGCCCAGUAAGAAAUAUUAUGACUAAGAUAAUGCAGAAUAAAUUAUCCCUAGCCUUCAACUGUAUAACAACUGAUAGAAUACAAUAGACAACAAGUUUUAGAUCAACAACUGCAGCGGAAUAAGCAAUCCAUUAGAAGAGUCAAGUAGAGCAUGAUAUCUACUAUCUUCUAUGAUUUAAAAGUUUAUCAUCAAUUUUAUCGCUGAGACUUAUCUUAAUAAAUAAUUCACAUCACUGAAUUAUCCAUGCACUAUGAGCCAAGGAUAUUUAUUAGUAUCACGACCACGAAUUAUCCAUGCACUACGGGCCAAGGAUAAUUCGUGUUUUCACCAAUAGUCAUGAUCAUGCCAAACAACAAUUCAUCUUUGCACCCUUGGCCG
rnacentral:lncRNA from 1 species